rnacentral:rRNA from 1 species
GAUGAACGCUGGCGGCGUGCCUAAUACAUGCAAGUCGAGCGAACAGACGAGGAGCUUGCUCCUCUGACGUUAGCGGCGGACGGGUGAGUAACACGUAGAUAACCUACCUAUAAGACUGGGAUAACUUCGGGAAACCGGAGCUAAUACCGGAUAAUAUAUUGAACCGCAUGGUUCAAUAGUGAAAGACGGUUUUGCUGUCACUUAUAGAUGGAUCCGCGCCGCAUUAGCUAGUUGGUAAGGUAACGGCUUACCAAGGCAACGAUGCGUAGCCGACCUGAGAGGGUGAUCGGCCACACGGGAACUGAGACACGGUCCAGACUCCUACGGGAGGCAGCAGUAGGGAAUCUUCCGCAAUGGGCGAAAGCCUGACGGAGCAACGCCGCGUGAGUGAUGAAGGUCUUCGGAUCGUAAAACUCUGUUAUUAGGGAAGAACAAAUGUGUAAGUAACUAUGCACGUCUUGACGGUACCUAAUCAGAAAGCCACGGCUAACUACGUG